rnacentral:rRNA from 1 species
UACAGAGGGGGCAAGCGUUAUUCGGAAUUAUUGGGCGUAAAGGGCGCGUAGGCGGCUUGGCAAGUGGAUGGUGAAAUCCCUUGGCUUAACCGAGGAACUGCCGUCCAAACUGCUUUGCUUGAGACCGGGAGAGGUGAGUGGAAUUCCCAGUGUAGCGGUGAAAUGCGUAGAUAUUGGGAGGAACACCAGUGGCGAAGGCGGCUCACUGGACCGGUACUGACGCUGAUGCGCGAAAGCGUGGGGAGCAAACGGG